UUCAAAGAAAAGAGUUUUCCGCUCUUACGUGCUUUGACUUCCCAUUGUUCUCAAAUUCUCAAUAUCAUCUCUCUCUCUCUCUCUAGUCUCAAGUUAUAACUUACCAAAAUCCAAAACCCAGGUCCGGUUUUCAUGAAUAAAUCCUUAUAUAUUCUUAAACCAAUCAAAAACCCACUAUCCAAACUAUAAAUGGGAGCUUGGUACCGAAGACAACAAAGAAGAGAACGAAGAGUUGGAGCACAUGGAAGGGAGUUAAAGGGACAGAGUGCUGACUUUGCUGUUUUUUUUUUUUUUUUUGUUCUCUCUGACCUGCGAUAUCAUUUUCAUUUCUCACCUGAUGGUGACUUCCAGAGGCUGCAAUAUGUAAGAUUGUGUUACCCAAUUGAUCUGGACAGCGGAAGAUCUUGGUAUCAUUGAAAAUAUGUACCAAGUAUAAGAAAGCAUCGUAGUGGUUGUAUCUCACAGUUAGAUGAAAAAAUUCUCUCCAUUCUUCAUGUAACACUGAAAAGAUGUUGGAGCCAUUGAAGUGAAUUCUUCUAGAAUUGCAGUGUUGCCAUUCAUUGCUGCCAAGUGCAAAGGUGGACUUUGGAAUGGAUGCAAAGAGAAAUGCCAAAUUGUUUGGUGAUGUGUUCAACACGGAAAAGUUAGUUAACAGAACUUUACAACCUACCUGUGUGUCCU